AAACCGUUCAGGGGUAAACCUGAGAAACCCAAAAGAUCGAAUGGGGAGAUUCAUCGUCAACCUCUUUGGCUUACGUGUGGGUGCGAUGAUCGGGACCUCGGUCUCGCGUCACGCGCUCGCUGCGGCAUGUCCGGAGGGGUCGGCGUGCACUUCUCCCCUAGUAGGACGUCGCGACCCGUUGGGUGCUUGUCUACGGUCCGGUUGGUCGACUGGCGAGUCACGUGCAAACGCGAUCUCGCCAGACCACUGGUUUGCCCGAUUGGCUGCCCGACGGUAUUGAACGAUAAUUAACAUGGUAUUGGGCCGCACAAAGUGCGUUCAGGCCCGUCGUCAGGCUCGUCUCGCUCGGAUUUUCGAACCUGGUUUCGUUGUCGAGUGCUUGACGUGGCUGUUGGGCGACGGUGUCCUCGGACUGGCUCUAAAUAUUCGAACGGAUAUACCUGUCGGCGACGCUACUGCUUUGGGUACUUUCAGGA
rnacentral:rRNA from 1 species